UAUCUCUCCAGGUUGAAGAGAUCUCUGAUUAUUCAUCUCUGUCUUCAUUCUCUCUGUUGCCAUCUACCCAACUGGAUUUAAAAUGCCGAUCCAAUGACCAUAGAAUAGAAUGUGCUCAUGGCGGCUGAGGAAAUGCAGAACCAGGGAGAGUAUUGGAAAGAGUCCUCUAAUUAGAUAGACGGAAAACUGCAGCAUCAAAAAACACGGUAUGAUCCUUAAGACGUGUGUUUAAAAAAAGAUUCAUGAAAAUAAACUGGUAAAAAACACUAAACACUUUAAGGAACUACUUUGAAUGUGUACAGAAACAAUAGGCCUUCCAAUAAAGUUUGGUUGAUUUGCUACAA